rnacentral:rRNA from 1 species
GAUCCUGGCUCAGGACGAACGCUGGCGGCGCGCCUAACACAUGCAAGUCGAACGGAGUUUAUCCGACUGAAGUUUUCGGAUGGAAGAUGGAUAAACUUAGUGGCGGACGGGUGAGUAACACGUGAGCAACCUGCCUUUCAGAGGGGGAUAACGAUUGGAAACGAUCGCUAAUACCGCAUAACAUUAUGAGGAGACAUCUUCUUAUAAUCAAAGGAGCAAUCCGCUGAAAGAUGGGCUCGCGGCCG